rnacentral:rRNA from 1 species
AGAUUGAACGCUGGCGGCAGGCCUAACACAUGCAAGUCGAGCGGUAGAGAGGUGCUUGCACCUCUUGAGAGCGGCGGACGGGUGAGUAAUGCCUAGGAAUCUGCCUAGUGGUGGGGGAUAACGUUCGGAAACGGACGCUAAUACCGCAUACGUCCUACGGGAGAAAGCGGGGGACCUUCGGGCCUCGCGCCAUUAGAUGAGCCUAGGUCGGAUUAGCUAGUUGGUGAGGUAAUGGCUCACCAAGGCGACGAUCCGUAACUGGUCUGAGAGGAUGAUCAGUCACACUGGAACUGAGACACGGUCCAGACUCCUACGGGAGGCAAGCAGUGGGGAAUAUUGGACAAUGGGCGAAAGCCUGAUCCAGCCAUGCCGCGUGUGUGAAGAAGGUCUUCGGAUUGUAAAGCACUUUAAGUGGAGGAAGGUUGUAACUUAAGUACGUUGACAACUUUGACGUUACCGACAGAAUAAGCACCGGCUAACUUCGUGCCAGCAGCCGCGGUUAA